CACUGUUUUCUCAUAAAAAGACCUUUUAAACUGAUAUGUGACAAAUUCAGGUGUUGAGAUGAGACAAUGUGUGUGUAUACUUGUAUACACAUGUGGUAUUAGUGAAAUUGUCUUUAUUCAUAAAAAUAACACUUAGCCCUGUGAUGCUGUUUAUUCCUUGGCAUGCAUUAGAACACCCUGAUCUUGCUAACACUAUGUUACACGUACAGUUAAAAAGAUUGGGAUUUGUUUAGUGUACCCGGUACUGUACAACAGAUUUCAUUCAGAUAACUAAUGCUUAUAAUGAUCAUAUAAAUGUUGAUUGUUUUAUUUAUAUUGUAUAUCUACAAGCCAAACAAAGCAUGCACUUUGUUUACUAAGUGAAAGAAAUAAACAAAACCUUUGCUGAUAUGAAGCGAAACUGCAGUUU